AGCAAAGAUCAAUAACAACAGCUUCUGAGUCAUACAUAUUCCUAGUGAAGUGACAAUGAAAUCGCCUAUUGCUCUUUUCACUUGCUCUGUACACAAGCAGCACUAAUGCAAGAAAAGACCUUGGAGAAUACUGGAGAGCUGUGAUGAAAGAUGAGCCAAUGCCUGAAGCAAUCAAACAUCUUAUGCAUCGGCAUUCAGUUCCUCUCUCCAAAGAAAAACCUGAUUGUUACACAUCAACUUCUAUUGGAGGUGAAGCCUUUGAACCAAGGCCUAAUCUAUCUGUCUACCACGACGAUGCCAAGCUGAAAGAAGCUGAGAAAUCAUUAUUUACGAAAGAUUUCGAGCCAAGGCCUACUAUAACUGGUUAUCAUGAUGAUGAUGCUGGUCUUAAACAAGAAAAGUCAUUUACUGAAGAUUUUGAGCCUAGGCCAAAUGCUUCUGUGUACCAUGAUUGAUAUUGCAUAUAAUGUAUUGUGUGUCUUCCUGCGUUUGUGAAUUUACAUUUUGUAUGCCUCAUGAUAUUAAGUGAUUUAUGAAAUAAAGAUUGUAACCAUACUUGAUGGUUGUAUUGAA